UACGGGGGGGGCAAGCGUUGUUCGGAAUUACUGGGCGUAAAGGGCUCGUAGGCGGCCAACUAAGUCGGAUGUGAAAUCCCCAGGCUUAACCUGGGAACUGCAUCCGAUACUGGAUGGCUUGAAUCCGGGAGAGGGAUGCGGAAUUCCAGGUGUAGCGGUGAAAUGCGCAGAUAUCAGGAGGAACACCGGUGGCGAAGGCGAUUCUCUGGGCAUUACCUGACGCUGAGGAGCGAAAGUGUGGGGAGCGAACAGG
rnacentral:rRNA from 1 species